GUGUGCAUUAUUAGGCGUCAAGUUUGAAUUAUUCGGCAAAGGACAAUUCUGAGAUCGAAAUAACGGAAGUUUGGGCCCACAGAAAUGUAUAGGCACCGGCUUGUACCUUCGGACGGGAUCAAAUUAACCGAAAAAUUGAAUAACUCGAGUCGUAUUAACGGAAGUCUACGGUAAAUAUAUCUAAUUUUGUCGAUUUUCUCCAAGUUACCAUGCUUCCAAAUACCUUGCGCACCUGGUAUUUCACGUUACGCUACGUAUGUACUUACCUCUCCUUUUUGAGAUAAGUUCUGAACAGUCACUCCUACCGCUCAGAAAAUGGUCACAUCUACA
rnacentral:lncRNA from 1 species